ACUGGGUAACUCCCAAGCGUGGCCUGCACUGCCACUCUGUGAGAGUGAGUCCCUGUGAUCCAUGAUGGAAAUGGCUCAAUAACCCUCCCUUUGUUGACUUCCUGUCCCUCUCUGUCUCAUUUCCCCACUCUGCCAGCUCUCAAGUACACUCCCUUCAGGGUCAGGGGGACCUCAACGCAAGACAGAAUUUCUCCCGCUGCCUGGCACAGGGUCUUCACAGUGAUGGGAGGCUUUCCCCAGCAUUUCACCAUCCUAUCACGUCUCUUCUAAAGGAGAGCAGUUGAAACCUCAGACUUUAAAAAACUCCAACCCAGUGAGUGCAGAGAUGACACCUGUUUCUGCUCACCGCUAUAUCCUGAGCUCUUGGCUGACAGCUUGUCAUGCAGUAGGCAGUCAGUAAAUAACUGCUGAUGAGGGAACGAAUGGAUGUAAAGCUCAAUUCAAUGAACAGGGUAGAAGAUCACACUAGAUAAUGUCAUUUGGGGAUAAAAUAAAAUGUAACUGUCAGUCACGCCCAGUGCCAUGCAGGGUACCUGGUAUGCAGCUCCAAAAGUAUUUGCAGUUGACUAAUUAAUGCAUGAAUGAAGUAUAUCUCUUUUAUAAAAGUCCACCUUCUUGUGUGGCUUAAUUAAUGGAAUAAUUGUGGAUCCUCCCAAGAUCACUUUGGAGAAAACACAGUCUGACUGCAUUUGGGUGCAGCUCCCUGGGGCCUGGCUAACCGUUAGCCAAACUCUUGUUUCCAGCAUGGAGUGCCUUGGUCCAAUGGCCAGCAGGUGGCAACAAAUGGCUAUUAAAGUGGCGGUGGCACACUGGAGGCCCUCUCCAGACGAGGUGUCUCUCCUGCUGUACCUCCAGGGCCUGUGUUUUGGAAACGCCAGGAAGCCAGCCCAACAGGCCCUUUUGGACUUAGAGUUCUGAGUAAUGGUACCGGAGAGCUGAAGAGCCAAGGCAGUUCAUGUGCGUAUCCGGGCUUCUUCAGGCAUGAGAUUUCAUCCGGCUCACACCAGACAACCUGCCUCUGUCACGUCUCAGUCUGUCUGGAAUUGUCAGUUUCUUCUGUUUUGUUUUGUUUUAGCCCAGCUCAGUGCCAUGCAAUCAGCCUGACAGCCUGUAGUAAUGACUGGGUUUGUUAUCACUGGAUUAUACAAAGUCUUCUUAUUACAUACAAAGAGGUUGCUGACCACUCAUCAUGGGUCCCCUCUACCUUGGUGCUGUUUCUUCCAGGGGCAGGGAUGGAUUUGUCCCAGUCCUGCUUCACCCACUCUCUCUUUCUUGUAGUCUAAUGGUAGAGGGGAGAUCACCCUACAUCGCGAUCCUGUUGUCUACCGCCUCAUUCCCGCUGCAGCUCAGCUGUGCACGUGACAUAUGUCAUGUGUCUGAGCUCACUUAGGUACAAGAACCAGGAGGGGAAUCUGAUAAUUCUGAUUGUAAACACAGUGCUCUGUCCACUACAUUCAUGGUUCAAAUGGUGCUCCAAGAAGCCCUUCUGAGGUGGCCAUGAGUGAAGGGAAGAAGGACGGAUGGCAGACAGGGAGGAGUGGCCGAAAAGGUGAUGCUCCCUGCUUCUCACCCUUCCUUCAUCUAGAACAGCUGUGCUUUGACGUUUAAAAUG